AGUAUAAUAGUUAACUUUGAAACUGCGAAUGGCUCAUUAUAUCAGUUAUAGUUUAUUUGAUGAAGAAUACUAAUUGGAUAACCGUAGUAAUUCUAGAGCUAAUACAUGUAUAAAGUCUUGUAGACUGCAUUUAUUAGAAUGAAAACCAUAGGUUUCGGCCUAUUCGUGAGUAAUAAUAACUAAUCAUAUCGUAUGCGAUUUGUAACGAUGUGUCUUUCAAGUUUCUGCCCUAUCAGCUUUCGAUGGUAGUGUAUUGGACUACCAUG
rnacentral:rRNA from 1 species